CCGACCUUAGCUCAGUUGGUAGAGCGGAGGACUGUAGAUCCUUAGGUCACUGGUUUGAAUCCGGUAGGUUCGGA